AGAAACAGGAUUCCAGGCCGAAUGUCAAACCGUCUGGGCUCCAGCAGCAGCCUCAGCCGUGGGGGUCAGGUUCAUGAUGCACCUAUGCUCUCAAUGCUCUAUGAACAUCAUAAUCUCACAGCAACAGUGGAUAACAUGACCUUCAAGUUGGGGAUGGUUGAGGGUCUCCCAAAACCAUCCAGUGCCUUGCGAUGAAAACCUCCAACGGGACUGUGACCUUGCCCUUGGACUCACCUAAUGGUCAGGUUCAAGGUCACAUGGGCUUAGAUAGUCACUGCAGUAAAAAAGUGUAUGGUUUUAAAGUAAAGAAGAUGACUUCACAACGUGACAUCCAAGACUGCAGGGACGAAAUGACUCACGCCAGCAGAGGAAGCCAAGACACAAUACGAGAAUUUCCAGCGACUUACCUGCUUAAAACCUGGGUAGCAGAGCAAUGAGUAUAUCUCAGGAGCAUUUGCAGUCACAGCAAGUGAACCAGCGGCAGUCAUCGUCUCCAGAUUCUGAGAUCCCCAUGCUUCACAACCCUCAGUCUAUGAACAUCAUGCAUAGCAAACCUUGGACGUCCAUUGACGAAAUCAAACCGGCAAAUCAGAAGGACAGCCUGUUGCUACAGUUGUUAUCAUAUUAACCCCAGUCAUACCGAAGAAGCUCAGAGAUAUAAAUGCUGUUUAAGAUGUGCUAGUUUCUGCAUACUCCAUGUCUGGUGUGAACAUGUACAAAUGAAAGUCUCUACAUACCCCAUGUCUGAUGUGAACAUGUUCAAAUGAAAGUCUCUACAUACCCCAUGUCUGAUGUGAACAUGUACAAUUGAAAGUCUCUGCAUACUCCAUGUCUGGUGUGAACAUGUACAAUUGAAAGUCUCUACAUACCCCAUGUCUGAUGUAAACACGUACAAUUGAAGGUCUCUACAUACCCCAUGUCUGAUGUAAACACGUACAAUUGAAGGUCUCUACAUACCCCAUGUCUGGUGUGAACAUGUACAAUUGAAGGUCUCUACAUACCCCAUGUCUGAUGUAAACACGUACAAUUGAAGGUCUCUACAUACCCCAUGUCUGAUGUAAACACGUACAAUUGAAGGUCUCUACAUACCCCAUGUCUGGUGUGAACAUGUACAAUUGAAGGUCUCUACAUACCCCAUGUCUGGUGUGAACAUGUACAAUUGAAGGUCUCUACAUACCCCAUGUCUGGUGUGAACAUGUACAAUUGAAGGUCUCUACAUACCCCAUGUCUGGUGUGAACAUGUCUCAUCUUUGAAAUUGGAAAAUUAGUGACUUGAUUCAGACAGAAAUCGCAUAAUGACAAAUCACAACAAAAAAUGGAAAGCCAGAAAGUCUUGUGGCCAGCAAUGUUUUUAUGUGACCAUCCAAGUUGUGUUCAAAGAAAAACAAUAGUUUAUGUUUUAUUGGAACUAUGAUGCUGUCAGUCAUUUUAUGUUGAAGGCUUUAAAUAACUAUAUUUAAAUAUAAUAAGAUUAAGAUUACUUGAUCAAAGAAAUAAUGUAAAAUAGUAUUUUAAGCGCAAAAUUUACAAGUCUAUCCAAUUACUGUGUCUGUAUUAUGACAUUUUAUUUUGGAAAUGUUAAGGAAAAUAUAAUGUAAGUAAAUAUAUGUCUAUGAAUGUUGAUUUUAACAUUUGUCAAAGCUGUUUAAAUGAUGCUGGUAACUUUGACAAAAUUUAAAGAAAUGUAUUAUUUUCAUGUAAUGAGACAUGCUUCAGUUUUUUGUGGCUUAACCUGUUAUAUAGUGGUGGUAGUUACAAGAAUUGUUUAGCCAGAUGGAGAAUGUUGAUGCUAUGGCUUUGAUACUCUUAAGUGUGCCCAUUGGUGUCAGGUUUUUAUCAAGAAUAUUUUUUAUUGUCUUACUAUUUCUUAAAAAUAUUGAUUAAUUUUAGACAAAAUCAUUUAAUCUUCCUUAAAUUGUCUAUUCUGUAUUUACGACCAGUUAUUUAUUAAUUUGCAUGAAUAUGAUUUAAGAAUGACUUUUGUGUCGCUUAAAAUGCUUUAUUUGUUUUGAAACUUAAUAUUUAAAAACGAAAAUAUGAGGUGUAGAAAUAAUGGCCAAAGUUAUGAUAAUUAUUUUUUUGUUUUUGUAAAGUUUAUUAUGCUUUAUAUGUUUGUGUAUAGGCAUUUAGACGACCAGAUUAACUUUACCAAUAAUUCGUGAUCACUAUAUAUCGGUCAGUACAUUUGUCACUUGUAUAUAGAGCGAUUGCGAAAUUAUUGUAUUUGCAAUGUUAAUCAUGCGUUUAUUGUUGCCAUUUUGAUUUUCGCUGUUAACAUUUAUUUGUUCUAACAAUUUUCAUCACGUACAUCUUUUAGGUGCCAGAUAAUAAAAAAAACAUUGCUUGUGGAGAUGCUCAUUUAAAACUUUCUUAAUGAUACAGAACAACACAUUCUGAAGAGGCAAAUAUGCUUUAGACAAUAGGAACAUCUUGUUACUAGUAUAUGUAAUGCCUUUCACUAAAUAAAGUCAAGCAACUAUAGAAAGAUUGGUUUAACUUUAUUUUGCAUUAUCUUAAGAAAAAUUAAUAUAUUCAACUUGGAAAUCAGUCAAUUGCAAAUCAAGCAAGAGUGAUGAAUAUUUGUACGCAAGAUAGAGGGAUGUUUUUGCUUGAAAAAAGUUUUAUCCCUUGUUAGAUAAUGAUUUUGUUCAUCUCUCAACAUAACAAGUGCAUUCAUACAGCUAUUAAAAAUAUGACACACUUAAUACUCAGCCAUCAGUUUGUAUUGGGGUUUUGUGGAAUACUUACUAAACUAAUAUACGUCUGUGCAAUUAAUUAAUAGUUAUGGUAAAAUAUGAUACUCAU